UUUUGCAUGUUACGUACAUACGUCAUAUAUCGGCGCGAGGUGGUGGAGCAGGAGGAGCAGGAGAUGAAGAGUGGAAGAGGAAGAAGAAUAUGCAUAUCGGUGGAAUCGCGAACGUAUAUUUUAUAAACGCAAUUUGAGGCCGACGUGUGUUCUGGAAUCUGGCAAGCGCGAUAUCUUUCAGCAAACUGGUGUAUAACGCGAAGAUGAACAUACACGUACGCGCGCACGCACACUUACGUACGCCUGCACCACACUCUAUAUACACAUAUACGUAUUCGUGUAUUCAUUUUUCCCCAGUUUCUUUGGCAUAGCGCGUCGUACGUAGUACAUACGAUAUAUCUGCAGAACUUCGAGGAGGGUAUUACGCGCGCUAUAGAUAGCGCGGGUUUUAACAGCCAAUUUUCUCAACAAAACGCUUCUGUAUAGUAGACGACGAAGUCGACCGGCGUGUUGCUGCUGCUGCUGCUGCCGCUGCUGCUGCUGCAGGUGAAAUCAGACGAUGCGUACAUAGAAAAAACGCGAGAGACGCUAUAGAACGCGCGCGCACGUGAGCGGAACAAAACGAGGAACAAGCCAUAAAAAUAAUAAUCGUUAAAUUUUCGCACGAAAGAUCAUUUCCUACCUCAUUCGCUACGUGCCUUUCGCUCUGAUCUUGUCCAAAGAAGAAGAAGAAAAAAAUAAAAUUCUUUUCGCCGAAUGAGGAGAUCCUUUUAUUCAUUUUCGUCGUUAUUUCUCACCAAGAAAAUAUGAUCGUUGUAAAAAACGAUUCGUCUCUGGUACAAAUCGUUCGUCAAUUUACGUGAAUAUUAAUUUGAUCCGAUCAGAGAAAUACCGUCAAUUAUUUUUUUUCGUAAAAUCACGCCGCGAGUAAUUAUCAUCCCCAAUUAUAACGUUUCAUUUCUUUUAUCAUAAGUAAUUUUUCUAAGAUAAAUUACGGGGUGGUAUGUUAAGCUGGGACGGCUUCAAAUCCACAGUUUGAAUUUUCCGAAUUCGAUUUCGAACGUUUUGAUUAAGACGAAUAAGUUUUUGGAAAUUCGUUCGCCGUUCAAAUUUUGAAAAAAUUUAAUCUGAUAUUUGUACUUCUCCACCGACCUGAUUUCGAAUUUCGGAUUUUUCCAACAGAGCCGUACGUACGUUGAAACCCAAAGCAAAAAAGAAAACUCGGUUUUUUCUUCUGCAAUAACAACGCAGGUAAUUGAAGGUAAGGAAGAGAAACGAAUGAUCGAAUUAAAAAAAUUGGGUUAGGUAAUCGUAUCGCGAUCUUUACAGCGAGUCCAAAUUUAUGGAUACACACAUGCGAUGAGUUUUUGAUCUUUUUUUUAUUCAUUAUCAGGAGUAUCAGUAUUCAUAAUAAUUAAUACAAC